CCCUUAGAUGUUCUGGGCCGCACGCGUGCUACACUGAGUGGAUCAGCGGGUCAGGUUGCGCGAAAGCGUUUCCUAAUCUUUAAAUCCGCUCGUGAUGGGGAUUGACGGUUGCAAUUUUCUGUCAUGAACGAGGAAUACCUUGUAAGCGCGGGUCAUCAUCCCGCGCUGAAUACGUCCCUGCCCUUUGUACACACCGCCCGUCGCUACUACCGAUUGAACGUUUUAGUGAGGUAUUUGGACUGGGCCUUGGGAGGUUUCGGCCUCCCUUGUUGCUCGGAAAGACUCCCAAACUUGAGCGUUUAGAGGAAGUAAAAGUCGUAACA
rnacentral:rRNA from 1 species